CGAUUCAUGAUGUCCAGCACACGCUGCAGCUCAGGUACUUAGUGACUCUCAAUCACAUAUUGCUUUGCAUACUUUGAGGGUCGCUCUGUGCCUGUGCCGCCCGUGUUGCACACAGCCACACAAUUGU
rnacentral:pre_miRNA from 15 species